UUUGAAUGGAACAUGUUGCACUACUUA
rnacentral:piRNA from 1 species